AUUGUGCCAGCGGCCGCGGUAAUACGUAGGGUGCAAGCGUUAAUCGGAAUUACUGGGCGUAAAGCGUGCGCAGGCGGUGAUGUAAGACAGAGGUGAAAUCCCCGGGCUCAACCUGGGAACUGCCUUUGUGACUGCAUCGCUGGAGUGCGGCAGAGGGGGAUGGAAUUCCGCGUGUAGCAGUGAAAUGCGUAGAGAUGUGGAGGAACACCAAUGGCGAAGGCAGCCCCCUGGGUCGAUACUGACGCUCAUGCACGAAAGCGUGGGUAGCAAACAGGAUUAGAUACCCUGGUAGUCCACGCCCUAAACGAUGUCAACUAGGUGUUGGGUGGGUAAAACCAUUUAGUACCGUAGCUAACGCGUGAAGUUGACCGCCUGGGGAGUACGGCCGCAAGGUUAAAACUCAAAGGAAUUGCGGGGAAGCUGCAGCAGCGGUGGAAUAUGUGGUUUAAUUUGAUAUAACGCAAAAAACCUUACCAAUUCUUGAAUUGCAAAAGAGUUUGUUUUGUUUAAAACAAAAAGUCAUUAGUUGUUAAUGCUAUAAUACUUUUGUACAGGUGUUGCAUGGCUGUCGUCAGUUCGUGUUGUGAGAUGUAUGGUUAAUUCCUUCAACGGGCGUAACCCUUGCGUACACAAAAUUUAUAGAGUGUAUGGACGGUCGACGAAACGUAGGAGGAAGGUGGGGAUGACGUCAGGUCAUCAUGGCCCUUAUGGGUAGGGCUACACACGUCAUACAAUGGCCGGGACAGAGGGCUGCCAACCCGCGAGGGGGAGCUAAUCCCAGAAACCCGGUCGUAGUCCGGAUCGUAGUCUGCAACUCGACUGCGUGAAGUCGGAAUCGCUAGUAGUCGCGGAUCAGCUUGCCGCGGUGAAUACGUUCCCGGGUCUUGUACACACCGCCCGUCACACCAUGGGAGCGGGUUCUGCCAGAAGUAGUUAGCCUAACCGCAAGGAGGGCGAUUACCACGGCAGGGUUCGUGACUGGGGUGAAGUCGUAACAAGGUAACCAAU
rnacentral:rRNA from 1 species